GUUGGGACUCAUGAUAGAGAAACUGAAUCACACGAUAACUACACCUAAAAUUUCUACUUUUUCUAUUCUGCUGGAUUGCCACCACAUGCUGUUAGGCAUCACUAGUGGAGUGUGAGAGCUCACUAGGAUCAUUCUAGAUCGAUGAUCUUUGUAGGAUGAGAGUUAGAAAUAUUUCAACCUAUUGAAAGGUGUUUGGAUGAUAC
rnacentral:lncRNA from 1 species